rnacentral:misc_RNA from 1 species
UUGCGCCCUUUGGCUAUUCCGAAGGGCAUGCCUGUUUGAGUAUCAUGAACACCUCAACUCUCAUGGCUCGCCAUGAUGAGCUUGGACUUUGGGGGUCUUGCUGGCCUACGGUCGGCUCCUCCCAAACGAAUCAGCUUGCCAGUGUUUGGUGGCAUCGCAGGUGUGAUAACUAUCUACGCUUGUGGUUCCCCACCAGGUAACCUUCAGCAAUGGAGGUUCGCUGGGGCUCAUAAACGUCUCUCCUCAGCGAGGACAGUUUUUGAACGUUUGAUCUCAAAUCAGGUAGGACUACCCGCUGAACUUAAGCAUAUCAAUAAGCGGAGGAAAAGAAACUAACAAGGAUUCCCCUAGUAACUGCGAGUGAAGCGGGAAGAGCUCAAAUUUAAAAUCUGGCGUGCCUCUGGUCGUCCGAGUUA